rnacentral:rRNA from 1 species
UGGUCCUAGCCUUGAAAUCAGUUUUUACUUUACUUAUACAUGCAAGUCUCCGCACCCCUGUGAAAACGCCCUUUAAUUCCCCCUUAGGGAAGAGGAGCUGGUAUCAGGCACAACACUUAGCCCAAAACACCUAGCUACGCCACACCCACAAGGGACCUCAGCAGUAAUAAACAUUGAACAUAAGCGCCAGCUUGAUUCAGUUAAAGUAAAAAGGGCAGGCAAAUUUGGUGCCAGCCGCCGCGGUUACACCAUGUGGCCCAAAUUGACUUCUUUCGGCGUAAAGAGUGAUUAAAGUAAUUUUAUUCUGUAGUUUAACUAAAAUUAAGUUGUGACAAGCUUAUAUUUAGGACAUUCAAAAACGAAAGUUACUACACCCAAAACAACUUGAACUCACAAUAGCUAAGAAACAAACUAGGAUUAGAGACCCUACUAUGCUUAGCCACAAACUUUUAA